ACAAUCUGUUGCCAUGGAAAGGGCCAUAAUAUCAAACAAGCUGGGUGAGCUUGGGAGGCCUUGAAGAAUGAACCAGUGAUGAGGAAUCUCUUCUGCCCUGUUGCAGUCAGAACAGGGAAACCACAGACUGUGAAUGUACCAGAGCCUCAGAGAAACAAGAAGUAUCCUACUAUGGGAAUGGAAGUGAUGACACAAAGGAUUAUGACUACUGGAUAUGAAAAAGAGCAGAAUGGAAGUUACUUUUUCUGCAGAAGUGCUUAAUAAACAUUAAGGUUUGACACACGGCUGACAGAAAAAACCCUACAUGGAAUGAACUUCUUUAGCACAAUGUUUUCCAUUGCAAUUUUUCUAAAAAUACAAGUUA